UACAGAGGUCUCAAGCGUUGUUCGGAUUCAUUGGGCGUAAAGGGUGUGUAGGUGGCGCGCUAAGUCGGGUGUGAAAUUUCGGAGCUUAACUCCGAAACUGCAUUCGAUACUGGCGUGCUUGAGGACUGGAGAGGAGACUGGAAUUCAUGGUGUAGCAGUGAAAUGCGUAGAGAUCAUGAGGAAGACCAGUGGCGAAGGCGGGUCUCUGGACAGUCCCUGACACUGAGACACGAAGGCCAGGGGAGCAAACGGG
rnacentral:rRNA from 1 species